CCUACGGGUGGCAGCAGUGGGGGAUAUUGGACAAUGGGGGAAACCCUGAUCCAGCGACGCCGCGUGAGUGAAGAAGUAUUUCGGUAUGUAAAGCUCUAUCAGUAGGGAAGAAAGAAAUGACGGUACCUGAGUAAGAAGCCCCGGCUAACUACGUGCCAGCAGCCGCGGUAAUACGUAGGUGGCAAGCGUUAUCCGGAAUGACUGGGCGUAAAGGGUGCGUAGGUGGUUUAGUAAGUUGGCUGUGAAAUCCCGUGGCUCAACCUCAGGAUUACCGCAAAAACUAUUAGACUAGAGUGCAGGAGAGGUAAGUGGAAUUCCUAGUGUAGCGGUGAAAUGCGUAGAUAUUAGGAAGAACAUCAGGGGCGAAGGCGACUUACUGGACUGUAACUGACACUGAGGCACGAAAGCGUGGGGAGCAAACAGGAUUAGAUACCCUGGUAGUC
rnacentral:rRNA from 1 species